AGCGUUUUCGGUGGCAGCCUGGGUAUAAAUCCUUUGGAAUAGGGUAUCAUAGAGGGUGAGAAUCCCGUCUUUGACUCAGUGCAUGCUACUAUGUGGUACGUUUUCAAAGAGUCGAGUUGUUUGGGAAUGCAGCUCAAAAUGGGUGGUAAAUUUCAUCUAAAGCUAAAUAUUGGCGAGAGACCGAUAGCGAACAAGUACCGUGAGGGAAAGAUGAAAAGAACUUUGAAAAGAGAGUUAAACAGUGCGUGAAAUUGUUGAAAGGGAAACGUUUGACACCAGUUAUGCGGGUGGAAAGUCAGUCUUUUGCAAUGGGGAGUUGUGGGCGUUCAGACCGCAAGGCUGGCGUUUGCUUCAUCUUUGUUGUAAGUGAUGCACUUUUUCAUUUGCAGGUCAACAUCAGUUUGCUUUGCUGGACAAAACCCCAAGGGAAGGUGGCAGCUUAGGCUGUGUUAUAGCCCUGGGGCGAUACAGUGGAGUGGACUGAGGUUUCGCAGUGUGUGCUCUCGGGCAAGGCUGACUGGGUGCUAUGGGAUCGUUCGGCGUACAAUGCAUGCAUUUUGCGUCGUGUCUUUUUCAUACUCGCUCAACUCGGCUCUUCCACACUUAGGAUGUUGACUUAAUGGUUUUAAACGACCCGUCUUGAAACACGGACCAAGGAGUCUAACAUAUAUGCAAGUGUUUGGGUGGCAAACCCAUGCGCGUAAUGAAAGUGAACGUAGGUGCGAUCCGCAAGGUGCAGCAUCGACCGAUCUUGAUAUUUUUGGAUAGAUUUGAGUAAGAGCAUAUAUGCUGGGACCCGAAA
rnacentral:rRNA from 1 species